UUGACCUCGGAUCAAGGAAGGAUACCCGCUGACUAAG
rnacentral:rRNA from 1 species